rnacentral:rRNA from 1 species
GUAGGCGGUCUGUUAGGUCGGGAGUUAAAUCCGGGGGCUCAACCCCCGCUCGCUCUCGAUACCGGCAGACUUGAGUUUGGUAGGGGAAGGUGGAAUUCCUAGUGUAGCGGUGGAAUGCGCAGAUAUUAGGAAGAACACCAGUGGCGAAGGCGGCCUUCUGGGCCAUAACUGACGCUGAGGAGCGAAAGCUAGGGGAGCAAACAGGAUUAGAUACCCUGGUAGUCCUAGCCGUAAACGAUGGACACUAGGUGUGGGGGAGCAUUUCUUCCGUGCCGCAGCUAACGCAUUAAGUGUCCC